AGAUGGAUGACAUGCAUGGCAGCAUGCGCAACAACCGGUCUGCAGCUUCCCCCUUCUCUAUUUUUCAAGUGCAGAAAGAACGUGGCCCCGCCCCUGUUUAUGGCGUCACGGCACAUUUUGUGCUUACGUCUUCAGCGCCUGCGCAGUGCGCACGUUCGAUAUACGGGGUUUGCGCUGCUCUGCUGCCGCUGCAUAAGGAUCGCCAUGUCUAAAGAGCAUCAGACCCCUCGUGAGCCUGAGCAGCUCCGCAAGCUGUUUAUUGGUGGUCUCAGUUUUGAGACAACAGAUGAGAGCCUUCGGGCCCAUUUCGAGCAAUGGGGAACCCUCACAGACUGUGUGGUGAUGAGGGAUCCAAACACCAAGAGGUCGAGGGGUUUCGGCUUUGUAACCUACAGUUCAGGAAAUGAGGUGGACGCAGCAAUGGAUGCUCGCCCGCACAAAGUGGAUGGGAGAGCAGUUGAACCCAAGAGGGCUGUAUCUAGAGAAGACUCAAGCAGACCAGGCGCUCACUCCACUGUUAAAAAGAUUUUUGUUGGUGGAAUCAAAGAAGACACAGAUGAGGAACACUUGCGCGAGUACUUUUGUCAGUUUGGUAAAAUCGAGGAGGUGAAUAUCAUGACUGAGAAAAACAGUGAUAAGAGGAGAGGCUUUGCCUUUAUCACGUUUGAUGACCAUGACUCUGUUGACAGGAUUGUCAUUCAGAAGUACCACACAGUGAAUGGACACAACUGUGAAGUCAGAAAAGCUCUCUCCAGGGAGGAAAUGAACAGGGUUUCAAUGAAUCCACGAGGUGGCCGAGGAGGAGGAGGAGGUGGUGGCAGCAGCGGUGGUGGAAACUUUGGUGGGAGAGGAGGUGGAUAUGGAGGUGGAUAUGGUGGAGGAAGAGGAGGUUAUGGUGGAGGUGAUGGAUAUAAUGGCUAUGGAGGAAAUGGUGGCUAUGGUGGAGGUGGACCAGGUUAUGGUGGUAACCGUGGUUAUGGAGGUGGCGGUGGCAGUGGCGGCUAUGGCAACCAGGGAGGUGGAUAUGGCGGUGGCGGUGGUGGCGGCAGCGGCUAUGACAACUUCAACAAUGGUGGUGGAGGCAACUUCGGAGGCAACUUUGGAGGGGGAGGAGACUACAAUGACUUUGGCAACUACAGUAACCAAUCUUCCUCUAAUUAUGGCCCAAUGAAGGGAGGAAACUACAGUGGUGGGGGUGGAAGAAGCGGUGGUGCCCCAUAUGGUGGUGGUUAUGGAGGAGGCUCCGGUGGGGGUUAUGGAGGAGGUUCAGGUGGUCGGAGAUUUUAAAUUUCAGGGUAUAUAAUUGGUGUUUAUUUCUGUGAGGUGCUAAAAGCUCAAAUCCAGCGGGUUGAUGUCUUUGAAGGUUAUCUUCACUGCGUGAAGUUAACAUUUCAAUAAUUCCUGUCUUUAAGCUAUAUCUACCAUGUUGGUGAAUGCACAGAAUAUCUGAAAUGGUUUGCAUAGAGCUGAACAAUAGCUGCUGGGCAGCAUUUGAAAUAGUUUUGUAUUUUAUUUUUAACAUUUUCAUGUUUUAUAUAUUUAAAAACUUUUAUAAGCAUUUAAAUAAAAUUUUGAAAAACAAGAGUAAAAUGCUUCAUUUGGACUGAUUGUAACAAGUUUUUUUAAAUGCAUUUUAAUAUUCUACACAAAGAUUUCCGUGAUUGUUUCAGGAAAAAAUCAUCACAUUACCACACUCACAAGGUUAAUAAAAGCUUAGAAUGAAAACUAGUACAAGAAAAAGACUGAUAUCCUCUGGUGACAGGUGAUCGCAAUUCAUAUUUGUAUUUCAAUUGAGGGUAUUUUUUUCAUCCAAUUGAAUCGCAUAAAUCCAAUGGAAAAGCUGAGAUUUAUCAACAUUCUAUGUGAAGUUCACAUGAGUGACUGAAUUAAGUAAAUGUUAUGUGAGGAACUGUGAAGCUUGUGUAAUACAUAAACUUGCCAUUAGGAGAAGUUGUAUAAAUAAGUUGGAUUUGGCCUUAACCCAAGUUUAACCUUCACUCUUCACCAUUAUAGUGGUCCCCAAAAGUCAUAUGUAACAGAAAGUCAUCUGAAUUUCAACAUUACAGAACAAUAACCACUAACAAGUCUUUAAAUUUCAUGCUGCUCAAAAUAACUCUAAAUUAACAAUCUAUCUAGGGAGAGCAAAAUGACUCUAACCUAUAAUGAAUUGCUUGUGCAGGCAUAUAAAGAUAUUUAAAGUCGUAAUUCAUGAGUUGUUAUUUGGUGUUUCGGAUUCAGAAGUGCACCACAACGCAAAUAUUUUGUUUUGUUUGAAUGCAAAACCUUUGUGUUCGUAUUUUAGAUGUGUCAGGAGAGCAAGCGGUUUGUUUCUUAGCCGAUCCUGUCAAAAGCUGAGCAUGUUGAGGCGGUAAAACAAUCGGGCGCAAAAAAAGGCUGCGCUACGUGCUGCUGUAGUACUCGAGUCCGGACUCGAGACGUUUUUUUAUGAUCUCGGACUUGUCUUGGACUCGUUGGUAUUUGCAUUCGGACUUGGUCAUUGGUCUCGACCGAGUCCAUAUAUAUAUAUAUAUAUAUAUAUUUUCUCCUUCAAAACAAAACAUUGAUAGAGCAUGCCUCUUGUGAUCCGAAAACUGUUGCCGACUCAAGAACGAGAGCCGCGCGUGUUCAUAAGUUCUCUCUUCACACAGCAGUUCAGUUCAGUGUGUGCUGUUGAUGUAACUAAACAACUCCGGUAUAUUGGUUCAAGUCCUCGGGAAUGUCAUGCACGCCAGAAAGUAAGAACUGAAUUAAUUUGUGGGUAAUAUUAAGUGUUUACGGGAGACGCUAAACGUGAACAAUUCAGGUGAAAUGGUUCGACCGGUUCACUUAAAAGAAUGAACCGGUUCAAAUGAACGAUUCGUCCACGGCGCGAACUGAACAGCAUCAAUCAUUCAUCAGGCACGAUGGUCAGCGAGCAGCGGCAUAAUAACAUUUGGUUUUACAAACCAUAAAGAAUUUAUCGACAGUGCGCUUAAAAGGAAACUUUGCAACAAUACUUUCUCUGAAACCUGUGGGACGACAUCCAAUUUGUAAGAAACCUGCAAAGGCAUCACAAAGAGAGGUAAGUUAAUGCCAUGUUUCAGAGUUAGCAUUGCAUUUGAAUAUUUUUAGAAAGUAGUUAUGAGUUUAGAAAGUAGGGCUUAAAGAUAAGAUUGAUCGUAUUUUUAUUGUCAUUUCGAUAUGAACAUGUUAUUUAAGUAUGUGCACCGAAACGUGCUUUUAAACGAGCCGUGGGUAUGGCAAGCCGAUGGUAUCAGAAUUACGCCAUAGAUUAAACGCGUUUAUAUCCGAACGCCGUUUUUGACGGCGUUUUAAACAGUAUUUGUAUGGAAAGCCAACUAUGG